AUUCCAGCUCCAAUAGCGUAUAUUAAAGUUGUUGCGGUAAAAAAGCUCGUAGUUGGAUUUCUGUUGAGGGCGACCGGUCCAUACAACGUAUGCGUAUCUGGCUCGGCCUCGGCAUCCUCUCGAUAGACGUUUCUGCGCUUGAUUGCGUGGAGCGGAUCUCGGGACUUUUACUUUGAGGAAAUUAGAGUGUUCACGGCAGGCUAUCGCCAGAAUACAUUAGCAUGGAAUAAUACUAUAGGAUCUUGGUUCUAUUUUGUUGGUUUCUAGAAUUGAGAUAAUGAUUAAUAGGGACAAUUGGGGGCAUUCGUAUCAACACGUCAGAGGUGGAAUUCUUGGAUUGUGUUGCGACGAACUACUGCGAAAGCAUUUGCCAAGGAUGUUUUCAUCA
rnacentral:rRNA from 1 species